AGUUAGCUUUCUUCUCUUAGUGUUUGGAUUUUAGUCUUCUUUAUCUCUAGCUCAUAAUUUUAUUGAAAAGUCUUCUUGUUAUCCAGUCAUUAAGAUAUUUUCCCCAACGUGAUGUUUUGUCCUAAGCCCCUCUUUAAGAUUUUCCGCUUAUUUUUAGGGAUACUUUCAGCUAUGAUUCCUUAACAGUGACCUCUCGUAUGGGAACUGAGGUAAAAACCCUCAUAUCUCCAAAUUUACAAAUAACUGAUGGAAUGGUAACAUAGGUAGUAAUACAGUUUCUUUCUACUUACUGAUAAUCUAAUUUUAAAAUUAAUAGUUAAUUAUUAUCUGGGUAGAUAUUUUAAGAAAUGGGAAGGGAAAACUUGCUCAUAGGUGAAAAUCACUGCUAAUGAUAACUAAUAAAAAUAAUGAGUUAAUAGCUGCUAACCAUUGGAGAGUAACUAUUGCAUUUGCUAAGUCUGUGUAUGGUGCUCAGUGAUAAGAACUUUCUGUGUAUUAGCUUUUACCCUUCCCCGCGCCCCUCUGUGGUAAUAAGGACCCUGAUGUGCAUCCAGGGAGGCUCAGCGAUCCAGGUGCUUGCUCCUGGCGGCCGCGGGUUUUGAGUGCCGGCCCGUGGUGGCCAGAGGCUGUGCUCCUUACUGCAGUACUGGCGAGGAAAACAAAAGCCGCCAGAUCUUGCCACUGACCCAGUCUUUCAGUAUCAAUUUCUGGCGUCUCUUAAAUGAAAAACACACAUGCUUCAUUGUGGAAUUACUUUUAAAAUUGUGGCAGACAACUUUUAUUCUUCAGAUUCUGUGCAAUUUGAGCAUGUCAUGAAUAGGGUUCACAGGUUUUCUUUAAAGGUGGUUGUCCGCUGUCCUAUUCUUGUUGCACUCCUAAAAGAUUCCAAAACAGCAGUCUAGGGAUAACCCAGAAGUUAAGUUCCCUUAUUGUUCAUAAAAUGAUCCUAGCUGGGAUAACCUCCCUCCUUUUUUAAAAAAAUAAAGGCAUUGGAUUUGAUCCCUGGGGUACUGCUGAAGUUCUGAGAGCUGUGGUUUUUCCUCGGGUGAUAUAAACACAAGAUUAAGGAUGUCAGCAAGUUUAAAGUGAAGGAUUCACAAAAUGAGGAUAUGGUGUAUCAGAGAGCAACAUUCUCAUCGGCUGGAUAAUUUCAUAGGACUAAGUGAGUCUGGUAAAUAUGAGAAUUAUUGAAGGUAGAAUUUUGUUUCCUCUGAGUUUUAUGAAACUUCUUAAGCAUGUCUUAUGUUCUCAUAUUGCUUUUUUUUAAAUCAAAGGACAUUUUGGAAAUACAAAAUGCAGUUAGUGUGGGUAAUCCUUAGGAAAGAAAUAAGAUUGAAAAUGAAAAUUUCUUUUCUGGCAUAUAAUGAGAUGGCUGAAAGAAACUCAUGUAAAAUUCAUUAUUUUUCCCUUAAUAAAUUGAGUCAGAUCAUUAAAAAAAAAAGUUGUAAUUUUCCCCUUAGAACAUUCCAGCUGAGGCUUGAAUCCAAGGAGUUAGAGCUCAGGUACAACCUAUACAGUUUCUCGAUUUUCCAUGGGAAGAAACUGCAGCUCAGAGAGAGGAAGCACUGCUCCAAAACUCACCACUCUGAGGAGGCAGAAGGGGGCACCCUUGGUUCUUCACCCCAACUGCUGCCUAGUCUAGUGCUCUCCUGGCCUGUGGGGGGGGCUGCCCCUGGGUUCUGGAGGUCCUGAAGUGGAGGUACACUGUCAAGGCUCACGUGGUAGCCUGGGGGAAGAACACAUGUACAGGACACACUCCUUCAAGACAAAGUUCUCUGGUUGCACCAGCCAGUUGUUUUGUAUCCCUGUGAAGGUGUGGGUGGCAGGCAAACAAUGUUUUUUAUUCAUUUAUUUGGUUGUGUGGGGUCUUAGUUGCGGCUCGCUGUCUCCUUAUUUGAGGGAUGCGAACUCUUAGUUGCGGCACACAAACUCCUAGUUGUGGCAUGCAUGUGGAAUAUAGUUCCCUGACCAGGGAUCGAACCCGGGUCCCCUGCAUUGGGCGUGUGCAGUCUUAGCCACUGCGCCACCAGGGAAGUCCCAAACAAUGUUUUCUUGAUGCUUUUUCUCCACUAUAAUUUUUACUUUGGUCAUCAUUUAUUUCUACUUUGUGGAAGGAUGUAUUUCCUGGAAUUAAAUUAGAAUCAAAAUACGAGCUCAAUGCAAAAUUUAGAAGAAAACUGGAAUUGGUACUUAAAAUCAUAAAAUCCUAUACAGAUCUACCUCGACUUAUGAUGGGGUUAUACAUCCUGAUAAACCCACUGUAAGCUGAAAGUGUCAUUAAAUCGAAAAUGCAGUUAAUACACCUAACCUACCAAACAUCCUAGCUUACCCUAGCCUACCUUCACUGUGCUCAGAAAACUUACAUUAGCCUACCACUGGGCAAAAUCAUCUAACGCAAAGCCUAUUUUAUAAUAAAGUGUUCAAUUUCUCAUGUAAUUUGUUGAAUACUGAUAGUGUAAAAAAGAAUGGUUGUCUGGGUACAGAAUGGUUCUACGUGUCUUGACUGUUGUUUACCCUCAUGAUCGUGUGGGUGACAGGGAGCUGUGGUUUAUUGCUGCUUCCCAGUAUCACAAGAGAAUAUUGUACUGCAUAUUGCUGGCCUGGGAAAGGGUAAAAGUUCAAAAUCUGAAGUGUGGCUUCUACUGAGUGCAUAUUGCUUUUGCACCAUUGUAAAGUCAAAACAAUUGUAAGUUGAACGAACCAUCCUAAGUCGGGACCAUCUAUAGAUUGUUAUCAGUUAUACAAGUAACACGUGAAUAUUUUUUGCUUUCAUAAAAUUAAAAAUUACAACUAAUAUUAACAUUCACCCCAGUUCUAUUUGUCUCCUUUACCUCCACCCUCCCAUUCCUCAUUCCCACCUCUGUAAUCACUGUUGGGAGGUUGAUUUGUUUUUUUCUAGGACUUUUAAAUAUAAUAUUAUUUAAAGAUACCUUACUGUGUCUUUUUUUCUACAUUGGGAUAAAAGAUUAAGUUGCUAAAUAGCAAGAGACCAAAUAAUAAUUUGGCUUUAAGAGAAAAGCAUUCAGUUCUACAUCAUGUGACAGUCCAGGAUAAGUAGUCUAGGUCUUUGGGCUGCAGUGUUCCAUGAGGUCAUUUGAGGUCCCAGGCUGACAGUGGCUUGGCAUCUUUAACAUGUCGCUUCCUAGGUCAGUCUGGUCAUUGCUAUUCCAGCCGGCAAGGAGGACAACAGGGUGGAAAGAGUGGGCCAGAGAUUUUCUCCUUAACAGGUGCGGGUGCAGUGGUACACUCUCACCUUACGUUGUCAGAAGCAUGCGCCCAGCCAGCCCACCUAAGAGGAGGAGGGCGAGGAGAUGCAUGACAUAGGCAAGAAGGGGAGAGCAGAUCUGGGUGGGCUGCUGUCUGUCUUUGCUACUGCAUUUCUGUCAUUCAGCUGUGCAUCUCGGAGACUUCCUGUUACCGCAAAUUGAUAUAGUUCAUGCCUUUUAACAACUGCAUAAUAUCCCACAGCAGGAGCAUACCACUCUAUUUAGCAAUUUCCUUCUUAAUGGAUAGCUAACUGGUUUCCACCGUUUGCUCCUAGAAUCAGUGUUGUAAAUGCCUAUGUGGCACACUGCUCACUGCGGACAUGCGCGGUGUUUCUCUUCUAUGGGAAAUGGGUCAUCACGGAUGUGUCUUUAGUUUGGAUAGCCUUUGUUAAACUACCUGCCAACCUAGCGGAUAUACCCAACUUCACUUGGGGUUUGAGAGAACCUGUUUCCCUACAAUGGCUGGGGGGCUGAUUCUUGCAUCUUAAUUUGACAGUAAGGGAGAGUAACCACCACCACCAUCGCCCCCCCCCCAAAAAAAAAGAGAAACGAAGAAUGAAACAUUAUAAUGUAAGUUCUUUGGAGAAAUGUGUAUUACUGAGUACAUUCAUUAGAGCAGAACACUUUUAAAAAAAAAACUACUCAAGUUCUUGGCUUUGUUUUAUAGCCAGCAUCUAAUACUACUUUAUUUCUACGUAGUUACCCAAUUGAGUAACAAUUUAAAAAUCUGUGGUUGAAGAUGAUGGUUAAAGAUGAGAUGAAAUUAUUUAUAGGAAAUGAAAGUUACCUUUUGAUUUAGAACCAGCUGCUUUAGUGCAAGAUUGCUUUUGAGGAAUUUAUGAUGGAAGGAAUGUGAUCCCCAUGUUUCUGCUAUGGAUUUGCUCAAAUCAUGAAAACAGUCAUCUAAAUUACAGGGACUCCACCUUUCAUUGACUAGAAGGGGAGACCUAGUGCUAAUGCAACAACUUAUAUUUAGUCAGAUACACGAUUACAAGUUUGAACUUGCAAAAAUCUGUACCAUUUUGGUAGACACACUUUUACACCAAUGUCAUAUAAAGUGUAAUAACGUGGUUGAAAUGGUUAUUUCUUUAAUUAUAAGACAAUGUUUAUAAUCAUCUUUGUGUUAGUAUAUUUAUUUCUGAGUGUAUCUCCUUUUAAAUCAUAAGUUUCAUUUUUGAAAAGAGAUGAAUUUAUCCAAGUCAUGGGUUAUUGAUUUAAUUUUAAGCGUUUCUGCCCUUCCCUUUACCAUUCCCUUCCCCCAGCCAUUAUCCAGAAACUUCAGUGUACUAUUACUUUGCACUACUAAGCAAACUAAUUUUGUCCAGAUUGAAAGGUUAUAAAAUUUAUACAAUUCAGGCUCACAAAAUAAGACAGCACAUGUGAAUUCAAGAAGCUGUUAGUUAUGAAGCGCUUUUCCUUUCUGAAAGGAAAGUAGUUUUAAGCUUCAUUGAACGGAUCUAUGAAAAAGUUUGAGUAUUAUUUUACAAUAAUUUUAGACUUUCAUGACUGGAAAUUAAAUACAGCAGUUUUAGAGGUAUAUUUUACUUGAACGUUUACAAGCUUAGGCCAUGUUUUUAUUAAAAAUCGGACUCAGCACCUUACAUGGAGCACAAUAUACCAGAUGUGAGAUACAGGAGAGAUCGCUGGGGCCACCUGCUUCCUGUGUGCUAAAAACUUGUGUGGUAGCUGAUGUCAUAUAAAGUGCAUAUGACAGGGAAUAAUUUUGAGUUAUUAGACCAUAUCGGAAUAGUAAGGAUCAAUGGUGGUGGAAUGUUUCAAAAUUUCUAACACAUUUUACUGUUUGUUUGGAAAAGCUUGGGUUGAAAUGAUAGCCCUUUGCUUUGAAAACAGCAACAGCAAAAAACAAGUGCAAAAACAGAAGAGAUUCUCUGGAUGCCUCCAGGGAGAAGCAAGAGCUGGGAAGAAGCUAGUUGAAAAAAUAAACUCAAUUUGAUGGACUUGGUGUGGCACGUUGCAGGGUUCUAAUUUGCAGAUCUUUUCUCUAUUAACCUUUUUCUUUUUCUAACAUUUUACAUCCUUUCUCACCUUUGCUUCAUUCUUGCUUUCCUAUCCUUUCUUGGUUUUGAUAGGGACAAAGCUUCCAGUUCAAGGUUUAAGCAGAGUGGAAGACCCAGGAAUCUGCAGGCUGUGACAAUUCCUCUGUCUACCCUUGUCUUUUAUGACCUUGACACUUUUGAAGAGUACUGGUCAGUUUUUUGAAGGAAAUCCCAAAGAAGAUGAGCUUUUUGGAUGCUGAGAAAGGAUUGGAGAAUUACCCCUCUGUGCAUCUUGCAUUUUCACUCCUGGAUGUCCCUGUUUCCAUCUCUUUAACAGCAAAGUUGCAUCUGGUCCCUGGAAUUAGCAGUAGGUGUCAGUGGCUCAUUCAUUCCUUGGAGUUUGGCUGCUCAGCUGUGACAGACUGACUUCACUUCCUAGGCAGAGUGCAGGAGUAUCUAACUUCACUGAGCUUCAGUUUUCUUGAUUGUAGAUUAGAAAAAGAAUGCCUAAUUUACAGUUGUCGUAUAGGUUAAAUGAGCUAUGUGAAGCUCCAGGACAAUACCAGGCGAACUGUCCAUUCUCUGCUUAAGUAUUACACAGAAGUCACCAUGGAGAAAAAGUUGGUUCUUUACUUCAUAGGAAGAUCACAACCAAUAUUUCAAAUCAUUUUAAGUACCUAACUGUACAAAUGUACAUCUUUAUUCCUUCAUACAAGCAGAGACGGUAUUGCUUUGGUGGGGAAGUAAUUGAGUCAGGAGGCUGGGCCUGAGCUUUUGGAGCUUGGAGGGAGUCCUUGCACCCUCCAGCAGCACAGACCUUCCUUCCUUUCUCCGCUGCAGCAGGACAUGAUGAUACUGACUGCUUUAAAGAUGAGUAGUACCCACAGGGAGAUCCACGUCAGCCCCACUGGAACA